rnacentral:ncRNA from 1 species
AAUAGGCUUGGUCCUGGCCUUUCCAUUGGCUACUAGCAAGAUUACACAUGCAAACAUCCCUGCACCGGUGAAGACGCCCCAUAAAUCAUCUAUGAUAAAAAGGAGCAAGUAUCAAGCACGCACAUGCAGCUCAAAACACUUUGCCUAGCCACACCCCCACGGGAGACAGCAGUGACGAAUCUUUAGCAAUAAACGAAAGUUUAACUAAGCUAUGCUACAUUAAGGGUUGGUCAAUUUCGUGCCAGCUACCGCGGUCACACGAUUAACCCUAGUCAACAGAAACCGGCGUAGAGGGUGUUUAAGAUCUAAUACAAUAAAGCUAAACUCCAUCUAAACUGUAAAACCCUAGCUGAUGUAAAAUAAACUACGAAAGUGGCUUUAAAACCUCUGAACACACAAUAGCUAAGACCCAAACUGGGAUUAGACACCCCACUAUGCUUAGCCUUAAACCUCAAUAGUUAAACAACAAAACUAUUCGCCAGAAUACUACAAGCAACAGCUUAAAACUCAAAGGACUUGGCGGUGCUUUAUAUUCCCCCUAGAGGAGCCUGUUCCAUAAUCGAUAAACCCCGAUCCACCCUACCCUCUCUUGCUCAGCCUAUAUACCGCCAUCUUCAGCAAACCCUGACGAAGGCCACAAAGUGAGCGCAAAUGCCCNCGCCGCAAAAACGUUAGGUCAAGGUGUAGCCCAUGAGACGGUAAAAAAUGGGCUACAUUUUCUACCUCAGAAAAUCUUACGAUACCUCUUAUGAAACCUAAGAGUCUAAGGAGGAUUUAGCAGUAAAUCAAGAAUAGAGUGCUUGAUUGAACUAGGCCAUGAAGCGCGUACACACCGCCCGUCGCUCCUCUCAAAUAUAUUUGAGGAACAUCUUAACUAAACACUCCAACAUCUAUACAGAGAGGAUAAGUCGUAACACGGUAAGUGUACUGGAAGGUGCACUUGGAUAAAU